rnacentral:rRNA from 1 species
UACGUAGGGUGCGAGCGUUGUCCGGAAUUAUUGGGCGUAAAGGGCUCGUAGGCGGUUUGUCGCGUCGGGAGUGAAAACACCGGGCUUAACUCGGUGCUGGCUUUCGAUACGGGCAGACUAGAGGUAUUCAGGGGAGAACGGAAUUCCUGGUGUAGCGGUGAAAUGCGCAGAUAUCAGGAGGAACACCGGUGGCGAAGGCGGUUCUCUGGGAAUGUCCUGACGCUAAGGAGCGAAAGUGUGGGGAGCGAACAGG